UCCCUCCCCAGUGGUCUCCCCAAUCCCCACCUCCGGCAACUCCCCCAAUACCCGCUCCUCCUCUCCUCCUCCAAUCCCCUUGCGCCGCCGGCACCAGUUCGUCGCGUCGCCGGACGAAAGCACAGGCCAUCGCUUGCAUCGCAGCCUCGCGUAGUCGCCAUGGCGCGGAGAGGAAUUGCAGGCCGCCGCUCGCCCCGCCACCUCGCAUCGUCCGCAUCGCCAGGAGGAGCCGCAAGCUGCUGCUGUUUGGAGGUUCCUCUCCGCCUCUCCCUCGUGCGUUCUGGGAUCCGGUCCAUGGCAUGGUUGUUCUCUCUCUCUCUCUCUCUGAACGGUUUGGGAGGGGAAAAGGUGGAGGUUGUUAAGAGAUGGGGUGGCGGCUGGGAUUCUUUCACAUCCAUGACAUUGGUCCUAAAAAUCCACAAACCCUAGGUAGGGGCCGUUUUGUGAAGAAGAAGACCAAGGUUUGAGGAAGAAGAGAAGAAAGAUUUAGAAGAUUUCUCAUAACCAAACUUCAGAUUUUUCUACAACACUCUUGGUCCAGCUUUACUAUAGGUUGUUAUGGGUGAACAUACGGUGCCCUGAAAAUAGGCUGUAAAAGUUUUUGCCUGAUGCUUUAAUCUUCAACCUUGAGCUCAGAUAUGAUGCCUAUUAACUCAGUUAUCUGUAUGCUUUUCUGCAGUUUUGAAAUUUUAUUUAUAGCCUGGAGGUGUUCUGCAAAAAUGUGGCUUGAGUACCAAUGCGCAUCCUUUUGCAUAUCAUAUUUUAAGUAGUGGGUCGUGGUUAAAAGCUGAUUGUGGAAAAUAGUGUCUUACAACUUCAGUUUGUAUGUGGAAAGUAUUAUUUUUAUUUUGUUUUUAUAUGGAUAUCUUCCCUCAGUUAUGCCGGUUGCUUACUACUGUUUUUCGUUUUCUGAUCAUAUUGAUUGAGUCAAAUCCCACAAGUAUUUGAGGCUAUCAUGCAAAUCGGCUAUUAUCAGGCCAUUAAAGCAUGGCUUGGUUUCUUGCCCAUAUAAGACAAUAAUGUUGAAGCAUAAGCUGUACAUGAUCAGCUUUAUUCAAUGGUGAUGAGAUUGGAGCACAAGUACUUGGACCUCGUAGUUAGCAUCUUUCCAAAAAAACAGAUUGUGCAUUUGUCGAGGUAGGUUCUGACUUAUGCGACAGCGGUUGGUGGCGCCCAGAGGGUUCCGCGGCUGGUAGCGCUGGCGGUUCGAAGUUGCGGAGGCGGUGCAUCCACCAGCGAUGGUCUGCUUUGUCGGAAGGAGCCGCUGACACCACCGCCAGGCGUUAUCCCGCCGGCUGGUCCGCCGUGUGGAGGCCACGCCAGGUGAGGAAACCCUAGCGCGCCGCCUCACACUCCUCGUGUCAAGAUCCCCUCGACGCCACAGCCCGGAACUCCGGCUGUAACUCGCGCCGUCGUUCACAGGGAGGAGCACAUGAGUGGAAAAUCGCCGGGAGGAGCGGAAGGUUGUCGCAGUUUUGAGCGACCGCGAGUUGAGAACACCCGUGGAGCUGACCUCGGCUCAUUGCCGCACUUGGCUGUCUUGCACGGAGAGAAAGAGAGAGAGAAAGAGGAGGCUAUGUAGGGAGGAGGAGCAAUCUGAGGAGGAGGUGCGGCAACAGUAGCAAGUGGUGGUCUGGUACCUCCAUCCCUAGCCCCUCUACAUCAUUCAACCGCCGGCUGGCCGGCUCAGCCUUUUUCGGCCCCAUCUCUCCUCCUCUACAUCCUUGCGAUUCAAGAUAAGGUGCUCGAGGAAAAUCAAACGAAGCUGUAGGUACAGAGUUGGAACUGGAGCUACGAGUUUGGAUAAAGUAGGUGGAUAAACAUUUACGUUUAUUUGAUGGGUCUUACCUAUUUGAUUUCGCUUCCAAUGCAAUGGGGUGCACGACGGGGUGUGCGAGGUACUGGCCAUCUCAGAGUUGAGCUAUGCGUUUCUAAGUGCACUUUGUUUCUCCCUUUGCAACGACGUGACUUUAGCGGCUCUGAGUUCUCUGAGACGAUUGACCUAAAGCAGGGUUCCAUAUUCAUUGAUUCUCGAAGAGUUCCUUUAUUCGUACCACGGUUGAUUUAUACAUAUCGGUUUGACCCUGAUUUUGUUGAAUUUCAUGGGAAAUGUUGCGAAGAUCAGCCCUAGAUAUGGACACAUCACGUGACAUGCUCUUUCUCUAUGGAACUUUCAAUAUUGCAAUGGAAACAAGAAAUUUUAUUGAAGUUUGUUUUCGAGGACCUUGAGUAAAUAGGGAAUCCACCAGGGGGGAACCAUCUGACCUAAAGACUAAGGCCAAGUGGUGGGAGUCCAUUUGUGCAGCAGCUCGCAUAACCUAUCAGUCUCCUAGGUUUACAAGCUGCAAGGUGGAUAAGUUUAUCCCUAUGGGAUGUCAUGAGGCUGCUUCUGUGAUGAAAGGUUCAGUGUUAGCUUUUAUGUUCUCCACACAGAAGGUUAUUGGAGGUUUCUACUUAAUGAGCAUUGAUUUUCUCAGGUUUCAGUCAUCCAUGCCGUCUAUUUACAAGCGGCAAAACCAUCAGUUUUUAAGUAAGCUAAUGGACUGAGCAUUGGUGACACAGUUGGAGCACGGAAAUGCAACAGAUUUCCAAGCUGAACUGGAUUUUGGACUGGAAGGCCUUGGAGGCCGAGAAGGAAGGCGCCUCCGUAAAUGGCCACGGAGAAAAAUGAUGUCGCCACUGAUGAUAAGUGGGAGUCUUGCAACUAUUCAGUAUAAAAUGUAAUUACUUCUGCCCAAUCCUGCUAUUCCUCUUCAUUUUCUCCCUAAAAAAUAUUUUUGGCCUGCCCUAAGUUAUCUAUCAAACUCCUCCACUGACUGUAGUUUCUGAUUAAUGAAGUACAUGUGCCUUCAUUUUCUCACUAAAAAAUAUUUUUGGCCUGCCCUAAGUUAUCUAUAAAGCUCCUCUACUAGCUGUAGUUGCUGAUUAGUGAAGUACAUGUGCCUUUUUUCUAAUAAAAUCUUACCUGUAGUUUUUUUGGUAUAUUAUAUCUGCUGCAUAUUGAGCUGGUAAUGGUUGUUCAGCUAGGAGUAUGGGAUGGAUGAAAAAAAGACCUCUGGUUUGUCACUUCGUGUAUUGUAAAAGGCCUUUAGUUUCCAUUUGGUUCAUAACAUCAGAUUAGUCUUUGCAUACAACUAAACAUGAUUGAAGACAUAUUCCAGUGAUUUGCUUUCUUAUUGAUGGCUCAGUUGUGUUCGUCUUAAUUGCCUAUUGUUUUGCCUAAACGCAGUUUUAUUACAUGCCGAUGAUUAUUUAGAUACCCUCCCUAACAAAGUACUUCCAGCCAUUGUUUUUUUACUUUUUCUCCUAAACUGAAAAGCAAAAAAAUUGAAUAUUGUGGUCAGCUUCGAAAAUUAUCAAAGAUUUGGCAGAUUUUCUCUUAAAGUAAGUUGGCAGGGCGCUAUCAAAUGGUUCCUUAUUUUACAAGUUUCAUACUGUGCAUGAAUAAUUUUGGUAAUGUGGAAUGGAAUGAAUAUCAGUCCAUCUCUUACAGUUUUAUGAACAAUAAUUUAUCAUUCUAUCUGGGAUAUCUGCUUGUAAUCUAUCAUCUCUUACAGUUUCAUCAUCUCUUACAAAAAUGUAAUAUUUUUUGUUGAGAAUGGUUACAGAAAACAUGGAUUUUUCUGGUGAGAUUAUAGAAAUCUUAAAGAUUAACUUUCUUAUCCACACAAGUCUAUUUCUGAACCAAUACAUGCAAGAAAAAAUGAAGGUAAACAAACAACAUCGGUACUAAGUGUAGAUGGAGAAGAUGUUCAGGUUCAAGGAGGGCAUGUGGGAGAAGCACAGGACACAACGUAGACGCAUGCAUACUUAUGCUCCAGACCAGGGUUCUUGCACAUCACUAAGCACUAAGAAGUACUGCAACUUCAAGUGCAUCUGCUACUUUGGUUUGUUCAUAUAAACACAACAAUCUGAACAAGAGUAUUCUGCAGGAGAAGAAUUCAAGCUUGGAUAGACAGCUGGAAGAUGCUAAGACUAAUAUGCAAGAGGAGAUCAUUCUGUUACAAGGAUAGAAGUAACACGCCCUUUAUUGUUUACAAAAGUCAAAUGCUUCAGUCAAGAGUCUUGAAUGUUAGUUAGAGCAGCAAAGAGAAAACAACUAUAUUCUACAGCCUGUCAAUGAAGAUCUGCAGAAGAGUAACUCUCACCUGAAGAAAGGGUCUGAAGAUGCCAUGGUUAGUUUCCGUGAUGAAAUUGUAGCAAUUCAAGACAAGAAGAAUAAAACCCUCUUAGAGUUGCAGCAGUCUGUGGUUUCCGUUGAGAAUCUUAGAAUUUAGGAGCAGAUUUCUGAUGAAGACAUGAAGAAUAGCAAUGCUAGCUUGACCAAGCGAUGGGAGGAAUUAAGAGCAGCUUGCUUGAGGAAAAUGUAACACUACGUGAAGAGAAGGAAAUAGCUCUGUCAGAGUUGAGUUACAACAGGCUCACGUUUCCACCAGGAACCUUGAGAUAAAGGCAGAAAAGCAAAUUGCGAGUAUUUUAGCUCUACAACAAUCUAAUGAUGACUUACUGAAGAGCAUUUGUGGCCAGACCCAACAGUUUGGAAAAUCCAAGGUUGAGUUGCAGAAGGAGAUUAAAGUGACACAAGAAGAGAGAUAAUGUAUUACCCAACUAAAACAAUCAGAAGUUUUUCUCCGACGUAGCCUCCGAAGACUAUCAUAUCUGUAGAUAAUGCUUUUGUUGUUCCUUUCUUAUUUCUGUUGCUCUUGACAUAGCCAUUGAGUGUUUGCUACUAUAAUAUAUUUCCUGGUUCUAUAUAAACGGUUUCCUA